CCAUACGCUUGGUUUACUAAUCGGGUAAACGCGAUGGCUCGCGCGGCCGGGGGCGGCGCUCCUGCUCGAUGCAAAACGGCGGCGGUGGCCGGAUCCGUGCGCGGCAGAGGCUGGGGAGGCGGAUCCAGAGGCCGGCGGCGAGGCGUGGGUCGCCGGUGAAGACAAGGCCGGAGCACGGCUGCCGGGCGGAUCCAUGGCAUCCGCGACUCUGGGAAGAAAGGAAACAGGGAGGUGAGGGAGGGAGAAAGGAGGCGCGGUGCGCGACCUAGGCGGGAGCUCGCCGGAGCGUGGCGACGGCGGACGGGCGCGGGAGAGGCGCGGAUCCAGCGCGACGGCGCGGAGUCCUUAAAUAUUCAGACUCGUCGUAUUUCCUUCUUCAUCCUGCUGGUGUUGUUCGUCCAGACGAACGAGAAGAGGAAGGCGGCAACGCUGCCGGCCGGCUAGGUGACGGCAGCCAGGCCACGGGUGGUGCAGCCACUCCGGCGAGUACGAAUGAGGAAUUGACCACCAGAGCAACACUUGGUGCAGCUAGCUGCAGCAAGGACCAACUUGACUUGAUGGGAUACAAUCACCAAGAAAGAAUCAUACUCCUGUGUGAUCCAAGAUAUUGCACGAACAAGCUUGGGUGGAUACAAUCACCAAGAAAGAAUCAUACUCCUGUAUGACCAACUUGACUUGAUGGGGAGUACCUGAACUUACCAUUAUGCAUUGCACGAACUACCAAGAUAUUGUAUCUUCCUGUAUGAUCCAUAACUCAUAGACAUGAGUAGCGAUGGGAUACUAUUUGGAUGAGCGAUCUGACAUGUAAGCUUAGCUCGGUGGUUCAUUGAUGAGGAACACUAGAUGAGAAGAAAGAAAACACAUGCCAAAUCUGUUUGGCUACUUCUAGAUGCUUCCACUCUAGUGUAGUAUUUCUUUCCUUUUCUUUUUUAUCAUAUCUACUGUUUUCUAGAGUCUUCUAGUUGUGAGUAGCUAUGAGUAGAAUGGUGAAACUUACAUAAUGUUUUCUAGAGUA